UACAGAGGGGGCAAGCGUUAUUCGGAAUUAUUGGGCGUAAAGGGCGCGUAGGCGGCCUGGCAAGUGGAAGGUGAAAUCCCUCGGCUUAACCGAGGAACUGCCCUCCAAACUGCUUGGCUUGAGUCCGGGAGAGGUGAGUGGAAUUCCCAGUGUAGAGGUGAAAUUCGUAGAUAUUGGGAAGAACACCGGUGGCGAAGGCGGCUCACUGGCCCGUAACUGACGCUCAUGCACGACAGCGUGGGGAUCAAACAGG
rnacentral:rRNA from 1 species